ensembl:snoRNA small nucleolar RNA SNORD67
GCUGACGGUGAUGAGUUGCACUAUUUGGCAGGUUGCUAAUUGCAGUGGCAUAGCAGGCCUGUCCUGAUAAAUUGUGUUGACACCCCAUUGUGCACAGGGGCCAUCUGAGUCACC